rnacentral:rRNA from 1 species
AGUGAACGCUGGCGGUAGGCCUAACACAUGCAAGUCGAACGGCAGCGCAGUAAGAGCUUGCUCUUACGGGUGGCGAGUGGCGGACGGGUGAGGAAUACAUCGGAACCUACUUUUUCGUGGGGGAUAACGUAGGGAAACUUACGCUAAUACCGCAUACGACCUACGGGUGAAAGCAGGGGAUCUUCGGACCUUGCGCGAUUGAAUGAGCCGCUGUCGGAUUAGCUGGUUGGCGGGGUAAAGGCCAACCAAGGCGACGAUCCGCAGCUGGUCUGAGAGGCUGAUGAGCCACACUGGAAGUGAGACACGGACCUGGCUCCUACGGGACGGAGCAGUGGGGAAUGUUGGGCAAUGGGCGCAAGCCUGGUCCAGCCGUGCCGCGUGGGUGAAGGAGGCCCUCGGGUUGUAAAGCCCUUUUGUUGGGAAAGAACAGCUGCCGGUUAAUACCCCGCUGUUCUGACGGUACCCAAAGAAUAAGCACCGGCUAACUUCGUG